UACGUAGGGUGCAAGCGUUAAUCGGAAUUACUGGGCGUAAAGCGUGCGCAGGCGGUUAUGCAAGACAGAGGUGAAAUCCCCGGGCUCAACCUGGGAACUGCCCUUUGUGACUGCAUAGCUAGAGUACGGUAGAGGGGGAUGGAAUUCCGCGUGUAGCAGUGAAAUGCGUAGAUAUGCGGAGGAACACCGAUGGCGAAGGCAUCCCCUGGACCUGUACUGACGCUCAUGCACGAAAGCGUGGGGAGCAAACGAGGAUACGAAACCGGGUA
rnacentral:rRNA from 1 species